rnacentral:lncRNA from 1 species
GCAGACAUAACUGCUGCAUACGCAGUCGCUGCCGCUGCGGCCGCAAUCCCGUCCGCAGCCCCUUUUUCCCCGUUCCUUUCUUUUCUUUCCCAGCUGCAACUGCCGCAGUCGCAGCCAUGGCCGCAGCCACCACAGCUGCAGCCUCUUCUUCCUCCCCUGCUCUAUUUCCUCUCCUUCUCUUCCAGUUGCAGCUGCCACUACCGCAAUUGCCUCCCCUUCUCCUCUUCCUCUCUUCUUUCCUUUUCCUUUCUCUUCUUCUUCCUUUCCUUCUCCUCUUUCCCAGCUGCACUGCUGCAGUCGCAGCCUCAGCCACGACCACAGCCUCUUCUUCCUCCCCUGCUCAUCUUCCUCUCCUUCUUCUCUUCCAACUGCAGCUGCCAUCGCCGCAGCCGCAGCCCCUUCUCUUAUUCCUCUCCUUCCCUUCUUCCUUUCUCUUUUCUUCCUUUCCUUCUCUUCUUUCCCAGCUGCACUGCUG